rnacentral:tRNA from 1 species
GGGGAUAUAGCUCAGUGGCAGAGCACAUGCUCAGCAUACACAAGGCCCUGGAUCCAAUCCCCAGUACCUCCA